UACGUAGGGUGCAAGCGUUAAUCGGAAUUACUGGGCGUAAAGCGUGCGCAGGCGGUUUUGUAAGUCAGAUGUGAAAUCCCCGGGCUCAACCUGGGAACUGCAUUUGUGACUGUAGAGCUGGAGUGCGGCAGAGGGGGAUGGAAUUCCGCGUGUAGCAGUGAAAUGCGCAGAUAUCAGGAGGAACACCGGUGGCGAAGGCGGCCUGCUGGGCAGUAGCUGACACUGAGGCGCGACAGCGUGGGGAGCAAACAGG
rnacentral:rRNA from 1 species